CUAACUUCCCUUCUUCCUGCCUGUUUUCCUGAAGUUGCGUCUGCAGGCUUCCUCUUAAUUCUAUGGAUCAUGCAAUAGUCUUUCAAGAAAUUAUCUUCUGCUUAGCUAGUCACUUCCUGUUGCUAGAACCAUGAAGAGGCCUGGUGAAAGAUGUUCAGUAUACUACCUGCAUCAGCUGCUACUGCUAUGUGACAAGCAAAUUUUCCAGAAACACUGACAUGGAAACAGGAUCUUUCUUCUCCUACUGUUUGUUCCUCGACUACAGUUAUAAUCCUCUAUUUGUGACAUCAUAAUUAGUUGCCACUGGAGAAGACGAUCGUGUCACAAAAGGAUUAGGACCUAAGUCUUGGAGUCCAGCCACUAUGCUGUGGGGAAGCAAAGAAAGCUGUGGAGAGGCCACGUGGGGAGGAAUGCCAUCCUUAGCAUGGGCUGAGCUCCCAGGCAGCACCCAUCUCCAGACAUGCGAGUGAACAGGACUUCCGG
rnacentral:lncRNA from 1 species